AGAACCUCCAAAUGAUGCUAGAUUGGAAGAUCAGCCAUCUAAUGAGGUUUCAACGGGGAAAGGAGUCACUGCUGAUAGCUCUUUUCCAGGAAUGACUAUACUAACUGCAAACAACAGUUCUGAUCUUCGAGGUGAACUUCAUGGGAUCAGUGCAAGUUUUGAUGAUGAGGUUACAUCGUGCUUAUCAUCAGAUGUGCAGGAGCAUAUUGGCAGCUUGACCUGUAAGAUCACUGAGAAAAUUAAUGGGGAUGAUAACAUGCAAAUAGAAAUAGUUGAUCCUGCAACAGAUAGGAUGGAUACGCAGUUUGACUCUGGCAUGAAAAAAAAGAAAAAGAAAGCAAGAAAAAUGGGUGCACG
rnacentral:misc_RNA from 1 species